rnacentral:lncRNA from 13 species
AAGAGAGGGUACAGAAGCUGAUUUCGUAAUUGAUGGGAAUGGGACAGCAGUGAGGAGCCAUCAUUUUGCUCACAGAUGAAUGAUCACCCAAGAGGCUGCCUGAAGAGCAAACAAGGUCCUAAGAACUGUUUCUCCUGGAAUAACCUGUUGUCACUCCCUGAUCGAACCCUAAUGCAGAUUUACAUUGAUUCCAUUAACUGGAAUUUAAGAUUACCACAAAGACACUUUGGGCUCCUUCUAAUAAGAAGAGAGUUACAGUGCUGCUGGGGUGAUUGAUGGCCUAUCAAGAUGAAAUCAGUCUACUAGUCUAUAACGGAGAUUCCCUUGUAUCUAGAUGUGGACCUGUUUUUGGAUUUUGGCUGGUCAGAUGUAUGUCAAAGUCUGGGGAAGCCUUCUGAGAAUGUUUUGUUUAUGAAAUAGGUUGAAUUGGGUUUGGCCUAUUGCUCUUCUUCCUGCCCCAAAUAUAGAAAUGAAACGUUCAUCUUGAAAUCAGGGUAAUAGAAGCAAUGUGCUAGGAUGGUAGAGCUCAAAUGAGGAAAAUAAUCUAUUUUCUAAUAAACAUCUUUUGGUAUUUGAACUAACCUUCA